UUGGAAAACAUCUGAGCUGCUGUUUUCUCCAGGACUGCAGGAGUUUAGUGACAAGCAUGCGAGUUAUUUCAAGAACUUCAGAGAGCAGCAGCCCAGACAUUUGAGGAAUCUGGAUGCUUUAUGAACACGCACACACACACACACACACACACACACACACACACACACACGCACACACACACACACAGGUCUGUCCGUUAUUCACAGGGCAGGACGAGAGUUUCAGGAAUUACAAGGAUGGGAAAUGAAAUGACAAGUGUUGAACGUUGUCUUCUUAAGGAUCAAGAGCUCCCAAAAUGAACCACCACCACAUCAAUGAGAAAAAUCACUGGGUGUUUGUACAGCUGUUGGCAUUUAUCUGAAAUUGAUGGGUCUCAGGAAGAUCGGAGCCUCUAUAGCAUUUCAGUCUGCAGACAGGAUUCAUUGUGGACAGAUGGCCGGUCCAUCCCAAAGCAUAUAAAGAUGAUUAAACUCAGUUUGAACAUUUUAAGCACUUGCAUAUCCACAGUGAGUUUUGCACACAAGCAAGCACCAGAAAUAUUUACAAUUAAAUUGCUCUGUUUUAUGACAGAUUCAGGAUUAUAAUGUGAAUGCUGAUCUUUUAAAAGUAGGCCUACAGUAGAUAUACGCAUGCACAAAGCAUGUUAAUACAUCACACAGACAUUAUCUUGCAAUUAUGUUGUUCUCUAUAAUUUUAGUGCAAUUUAACA